UACAGAGGGUGCAAGCGUUAAUCGGAAUUACUGGGCGUAAAGCGUGCGUAGGCGGUUGCGUAAGUCAGAUGUGAAAGCCCCGGGCUCAACCUGGGAAUUGCAUUUGAGACUGCGUAGCUAGGGUGCGGAAGAGGGAAGCGGAAUUUCCGGUGUAGCGGUGAAAUGCGUAGAUAUCGGAGGGAACACCAGUGGCGAAAGCGGCUUCCUGGUCCAGCACCGACGUUCAGGCACGAAAGCGUGGGGAGCAAACAGG
rnacentral:rRNA from 1 species